rnacentral:lncRNA from 1 species
AGCGUGAAGCUUUUAGGGGCUUCUGAAAUGAAAUCCUUUCUUUUGAUCCUCCUGUCUUCUUAGUAGGUGUGUAUGAAAGUACUUUGUAAAAAAUAACUAUAUACCAGUGAGACAAAUAAGAAUGGAAAAUUUCAGAGAGUUAGACGUCAAGCUCUUUCUUCAGCACAUGCUCUGGAAAGCACUUUUAGAUUUACUACUAGAUACUGGUAAGGCAGAUCAAAUUCUUAUCAAUAAUUUGAAUCUUAAUUAUACCAUUUACUAGUUGCAUGACUUUGGGCAUGUUAUCUAAGCCUCCUGUGCCCCAUCUGUGAAGUGGAGGUAGCAAUUCCUCAGAAUUGUGGUAAGGUUUAAAUGACGCAUUAUAUUCAAAGCACUUUGCACUCAUUAAAGAUAUUAUGAGCAGAUGCUCAAUAAAGUGAAUCCAUUAACAUUUUAAUGUGUUACUUCAAGGUUUUUUUGUGGCUAAUAAUUUUUUUUGUGUCCAACAGAAAAAUGGGUGGCUCAGCACCACCAGAUAGCAGCUGGAGAGGAAGUCUCAAAGUGCCCUACAAUGUUGGACCUGGCUUUACUGGAAACUUUUCUACACAAAAAGUCAAGAUGCACAUCCACUCUACCAAUGGAGUGAUGAGAAUUUACAAUGUGAUAGGUACUCUCAGAGGAGCAGUGGAACCAGACAGAUAUGUCAUUCUGGGAGGUCACAGGGACUCAUGGGUGUUUGGUGGUAUUGACCCUCAGAGUGGAGCAGCUGUUGUUCAUGAAAUUGUAAGGAGCUUUGGAACACUGAAAAAGGAAGGUAAUACAAACAAACAGCAAAAAAACCAACCUAUCUGAGUCUCAGUUUAGUCUUCUGUAAAGGGAGUAUAAAAAUACUACCUCAACCAUUACAUGUGUUUGGUAAAAAUACCAAUACAAUUUUUAAUGUUGGUUGGUUAAUUAUAUUGUUUAUUUAUUUUUGCAUUUAUUUAUAUAACACAUAUAUUAUUGAUAUUUAUGUAUUAAGUGAUAAUCUGAAAUAAGGAAUUAUACUGUUAAUGGUUGUUCUUG